rnacentral:rRNA from 1 species
CUUGUACACACCGCCCGUCACACCAUGGGAGUUUGUUGCACCAGAAGUAGCUAGCCUAACUGCAAAGAGGGCGGUUACCACGGUGUGGCCGAUGACUGGGGUGAAGUCGUAACAAGGUAGCCGUAGGGGAACCUGCGGCUGGAUCACCUCCUUA